GGAUAACCUGUUGUUGGGUUGAUGCCCCAUAAUUAGUAAUUUUAAGGAAAUUUUGCUGUUUUUGGUUAUUAUCUUGAAUAUUGUUAUAGAUAGAGAUAAACUGUAAACAGCAAUAAUGUUCAGCUAAGUAAGAUCUAGAAAUAAGUCAACUUGACCAAAAUCGUCAGUUGACCCCUUAAGGAGUUGUUGCCCAUUUUAUUCAAUUUUUAACAAUUUUCACUAAUUUGGUAAAUUUUUGUAAAUUUUUACAAAAUAUUUUUCACUGUAUCUAAAGGUCCAAGUUUAUUAUAGAUAGAGAAAAUUCUAAGUACCAAGAAUGUUCAGUAAAGUAAGAUCUACAAACACAUCACUAUCAGCAAAACACAAUUUUGUCAUGAAUCCAUCUGUGUCCUUUGUUUAAUAUGCACAUAGACCAAGGUGAGCGACACAGGCUCUUUAGAGCCUCUAGUUGGUUAUUAUCUUGAACAUUAUUAUAGAUAGAGAUAAACUGUAAACAGCAGUAAUGUUCAGCAAAGUAAGAUCUACAAAUAAGUCAACAUGACCAAAAUGGUCAGUUGACCACUUUAGGAGUUAUUGCCCUUUAUAGUCAAUUUUUAACCAUUUUUUCGUAAAUCUUAGUAAUCUUUUAGAAAAAUCUUUUCCUCUGAAACUACUGGGCCAAAUUUAACCAAACUUAGCCAUAAUCAUCAUUGGGGUAUCUAGUUAAAAAAAUGUGUCCGGUAACUCGGCCAACAAACCAAGAUGGCCGCCAUGGCUAAAAAUAGAACAUGGGGGUAAAAUGCAGUUUUUGGCCUAUAACUCAAAAACCAAAGCAUUAAGAGCAAAUCUGACAGGAAGUAAAAUUGUUGAUCAGGUCAAGAUCUAUCUGCCCUGGAAUUUUCAGAUGAAUCGGAUAAUCGGUUGUUAGGUUGCUGUCCCUGAAUUGGUAAUUUUGAGGAAAUUUUGCUGUUUUUUUGUUAUUAUCUUGAAUAUUAUUAUAAAUAGAGAUAAACUGUAAACAGCAAUAAUGUACAGCAAAGUAAGAACUAAAAAUAAGUCAAUUGACCCCCUAAGGAGUUAUUGCCCUUCAUAGUCAAUUUUUAACAAUUUUCUUAAAAUUUGAAGAUUUUCAAUAACAUUUUCCACAGAAAGUACUGUUAUAGCUAGAGAUAAUUGUAAGCAGCAAGAAUGCUUAGUAAAGUAAGAUCUACAAACACAUCACCAUCACCAAAACACAAUUUUGUCAUGAAUCCAUCUGUGUCCAUUGUUUAAUAUUCACAUAGACCAAGGUGAGCGACACAGGCUCUUUAGAGCCUCUAGUUUUCUAA
rnacentral:lncRNA from 1 species